rnacentral:rRNA from 1 species
UACGUAGGGUGCAAGCGUUGUCCGGAAUUAUUGGGCGUAAAGAGCUCGUAGGUGGCGUGUCGCGUCUGCCGUGAAAGCCCAUGGCUUAACUGUGGGUCUGCGGUGGAUACGGGCAGGCUGGAGGCUGGUAGGGGCAAGCGGAAUUCCUGGUGUAGCGGUGAAAUGCGCAGAUAUCAGGAGGAACACCGGUGGCGAAGGCGGGUCUCUGGGCCGUAACUGACGCUGAGGAGCGAAAGCAUGGGGAGCGAACAGG